UACGAAGGGGGCUAGCGUUGUUCGGAAUUACUGGGCGUAAAGCGCACGUAGGCGGAUAUUUAAGCCAGGGGUGAAAUCCCAGAGCUCAACUCUGGAACUGCCUUUGAUACUGGGUAUCUUGAGUAUGGAAGAGGUAAGUGGAAUUGCGAGUGUAGAGGUGAAAUUCGUAGAUAUUCGCAGGAACACCAGUGGCGAAGGCGGCUUACUGGUCCAUAACUGACGCUGAGGUGCGAAAAGCGUGGGGAGCAACAGG
rnacentral:rRNA from 1 species